rnacentral:lncRNA from 1 species
GCAGUGUAGCACUCGCGCCCUUGGGGGCUAGCGUUUGGCCGGAGCUACACACUCUUUACUCACGCACGCACACCGCCGUACACAGCACAAUCGUUCACCGUCCCGCCAAAGGCUCGUCUCUCGGGUUCUGCCUAGUGGAAGGAGUCGGACAACGCCGCACGUCACGGGCGUUUCGGAUUUCUUGCUUCCCAAAGGUUUGACGGCGGCCACCGGCGCCCCGGCCCAGCUCUGCUUUCCUUUGCUGACUCCUUCCUUUAGGUGUGAAUUUUAAAAUGCUGAUACCGCCCCAAGAGAGCUGAGUCAAGUGAGGCAAACGUUCGCCUGUUGUUCUCCUGACAGACUCCCUGCAGUGGGCAGGGGAAAUGUGGCCUUGGCCGACAUUAAUGAAGUGCCAGGAUGGAGGGAGGGGGCCUGCUGAUUUGUUCUGUUUUACUUUUUAAGGGUAACUAGAGCGUUACUGGAGUCGUCUGUGGGUUUGGGGAGUAUGUGGCGCGUGUGUGUGUCACACAUUUCACUGGCAACUCCCGCCAACCCCUUCCCAAGAAAUGAAGGCUCUAAUGUGGGCAGUUCUGCAACAAAGGUGAAACUUCCCCAAAUCACGAUUCCCCGCAAGAUGAGAGAGCAGGUGCAGCAUCCAUUUUCCCACUAUCACGCUUGAGAUGGUGGCUUUGGGCACUGCCGGGUGCCCCGACAUCCUUCCCAGAGCCCAGCCUUCCCACCCAGGCCCGGCCCUGCGCGGCCGCCUGCCUUUGCAUCAGAGACCGCGGCUGUGCCAUUGCCAAGGUGGGCAGCGCCGCCUCGCUUCCCCAUUCCUCCGUCUCCCACGCCUCUUGCGUGUUUGAGUCGCGAAGUGAUGGACUUUAAAUCUCAGAGGAGGAAUGAGAAACUUGGUUAGUGGCUCUCUUGGCAUGUUCGUAGCCCUGUGGUUGAAGUGGCUGAAACCUGCGUUGAGCCUCAGUCCAAGCAGCUGGGGCCACACCAGUUUGCAAAAGCGGAUGUGGCAGUUUCCACCGCAGCAGCAGCCUGCUGGCGCCUCAUCAGAUUCUCCUUUGGAGGAAGUAUCUUCUUCCCUUCAUUCUCGGUGAAUGGCAUCCAGAGAUAACCAAAAUCAGGUGUAUCUAGUUUCAAGUUCUGUCUUGCAACCGUGAUAAUUGGAGGAUGCAAACUUUACACUUUCUUCUCUAGCUGUCUACCACCACUGCUGCGCUUGUGGAUGACUGCAGGAACACCGGGUACUUGCCACAAGUAUCUCUCCAGAUUCAUCAGCCUUUCACCUGUGACAAGCUCAGUCAAGAAGUGGCUCCUAAGUAAAAGCUGGGGAAGAACAAGGAAGAUAGAGCUCAGAGUAGAAAGCUGUGAAGUUCUGCACAACAGGUCCCCUUGGCCUGCUCUAACAGUUGGAAGGUGGGGGAAGCAUUCAUUUACUCAACAAAUAUAUACUGAGUGCCUUUUGCAUGCUAGGCACGCUUCUAGGGGUUGAGGACACAGCAGAGAGCACAAACAACAAUUCCAGCCCUCGUGGAGCUUACCUCUUCCACGUGGGAAAGACAGAUGGUAAAUGUAUAAGGACAAUAUAUGGACUGCUGUAUGAUUAGAAAUGCUAUGGAGAGGCUAGGAGUGCUGUCUCAUGCCUGUAAUCCCGCAGUUUGGGAGGCCAAAGGAGGAGGAUCACUUGAGGCCAGAAGUUGGAGACCCAACCUGGGCAACAUAGUAAGACCCCCUAUCUACAAAAAGUUUAAAAAUUAGCCAGGCAUGGUGGCGUGCACCUGUAGUCCUAGCUAUCCAGGAGGCUGAGGUGGGAGGAUCACUUGAGCCCACUGCAUUCCAGCCUGGGUGACAGAGUGAGACCCUGUUUUGAAAGAAAGAAAGAAAUGCUGUGGAUAAAAAUUAAGCAGAGAGGGUACAUAGAAAGUAUGAGGGGUGCUAUGUUCGGAGAGGGGUGAUGAUCAAGGAAAGCUUCUGGAGGAGGUAACAUUUGAGGAACGACUUGAGGGAGGUUAGGGAUAUCUGAGCAGACAACUUCCCAGGCAGAAAGCAUAGCAAAUGUAAAGGCCCUGAGGCAGGAGUAUGCCUAAGUGUACUAGGAGCAAUCCAGAAGGCACCAUGAAAGAAUGGAGAAGAUGAAGUCAAAGAAGUGAAAGGUGGGGGUGAUGCAGAUCAGGGCAACUUGUAUUGUAGGAAUCAUCAGGCAAUAAGAUGCAGGGAAAACUCUGGAUACUGCAUACCCAAAGUUGAAUACAUUUUUCUUCUUUUUGAAACUUUUAAUACACAUAAAGACAAGUGCACGUAUUAUAAGUAUAUAGUUCAGUUUAUUUCGACAACCUGAAUAAACCCAUGUAAUCAGCACCCAGAUCAGGAAACAGAAUCUGGAAGCUUCCUUGUGUCCCCUUCCAACCACUAUUUCCCCUCAAAGUUAAUCCUGACUUCUAACUGCAUAGAUUUGUCUUGUCUAUUUUUGUACUUUAUAUAACUAGAAUAAUAGAAUAGAUACUCUUUUGUAUCUGUCUCUCUGGUUCUUAUUUGUAAGAUUCAUCCAUAUUGUUGAUGUUGAUGUGCUUAUGGGUAGUUUAUUAUUUGCUGUAUAUAGUAUUUCAUUGGGUAAAUACUCCAUGAAUUAGUUAUCCAUUACUACUUAUAAGUGUACAGCUCAGCUUAUUUCCACAAGCCAAAUAGACCCAUGUAAUUGAUGGUUGUUUGGUGACAGAGAGAAGGGUUUUUUUUUAAAUCUUUUAAAAUGCAUGACAGGAAAGUAGAAUUACUUAAGUAUUAAAAAAACAGUAAGAAGGGGAAAUUAAAAUGGUGUAGCUACUUUGGAAAAUAGUCUGAUAGUUCCUGAAAUAAUUAAACAUAGAGUUACUAUAUGACCCAGCAAUUGCACUCAUAGGCAUAUAUGCAAGACAAAACAUAUGUCCACACAAAAACUUGUACAUAAAUAUUCAUAGCAUCAUUAGCCACAAUAUCUAAAGGGUGAAAAUAAUCCAGAUGUCCAACAACUGAUGAAUGGUUAAACAAAAUGUGGUAUACCCAUAUAAUGGAAUAUUAUUUGGCCAUAAAAAGUAAUGAAGUGGCCAGGCGCCAUGGCUCACACCUAUAAUCUAGCAUUUUGGGAGGCUGAAGCGGGUGGAUCACUUGAGGUCAGGAGUUCAAAACUAGCCUGGCCAACAUGGUAAAAUGCCGUCUCUACUAAAAAUACAAAAAAAAUUAGCCAGGUAUGGUGGCAGGUCCCUGUAAUCCCAGCUACUUGGGAGGCUGAGGCAGGUGAAUUGCUUGAACCUGGGAAGCAAAGGUUGCAGUGAGCCAAGAUUGUGCCACUGUACUCCAUCCUGGGUGACAGAGCGAGACUCCAUCUCAAAAAAAAGGAAUGAAAUAUCAAUAGGAUAUACACUGCAAUAUGGAUGAAGCUUGAAAAUAUUAUGUUACAUAAAAGAAGCCAGGUAUGAAAGAUAUUAUUGUAUGGUUCCAUUUAUAUGAAAUGUCCAGAAUCAAAAUAGACAAAUCCAUACAGGCAGAAAGAGACUUGGGCAGUUAGAGUUAAAGAGGGGAAUGGGGCAUGACUGAUAAUGGAUACAGGGUUUCUUUCUGGUGUCAUGAAAAUGCUCUGGAAUUAGAUAGUAAUGAUGGUUCUACAUGUAAAUAUACUAAAACCACUCAAUGCAUACUUUUAAAAAGAUGACUUUUACAGCAUAUGAAAUAUCUGUCCAUUUUUUUUAAAGGAAAGUAGAAUAAAAGAGCGCCAGAGCCGGCACUUGUCUGGAAAUUAUCCACUGAUCCCUGGUGGCCUACAACCUGGGUUACAAUGGGAUAUAAAUGAAGGGACAGGAGACAAACCUUUAGAGGAAGACACUAGGAGAAGGGGGGUGGCAGUGGAAUCCACAGAGGAAGACAGUGAAGAUAUGUGCCUUUUUGAGCCUUGGCCCUGGGUGGAAUGAUUUUAAAAAAAAGUUUCCCCUGAAAAUCACUAACUCCACACCUAAUUUGGAGCCAAAAUUAAUAUUAUCUAUGUGGUCCAAAAAUACUCCAAAAGUUUAGAUCAGAUGGGUCCUGGAUUGGUUGUACCUCUAGGUGCCCAGCCGGCACAACAAACACAAAUCCUGUUGAGGAAUGCAUUUUAAAUCCAGGCUUCAAAGCAUUGCCACAGAUAAAUAUGCAAAGAAUUUGAAUAUUAUAAUUUCCCUUUGGAUUUCAGUUUAAUCCUGGGUGGUUUAGGAAUUUUUUAUUGACAGAGCUGUUUAAAUCUACCUUUUUAUUAUUAACUAUUCUAGUGUUUUUGUUUUUGUUUUUGUUUUUUUGAGAUGGAGUCUUGCUCUGUCGCCCAGGCUGGAGUGCAGUGGCGCUAUCUCGGCUCACUGCAGGCUCCGCCCCCCAGGGUUCACGCCAUUCUCCUGCCUCAGCCUCCCGAGUAGCUGGGACUACAGGCGCCCGCCACCUUGCCC